rnacentral:rRNA from 1 species
AUCAACGCUGGCGGCGUGCCUCAGACAUGCAAGUCGAACGAUUAAACUUUCCUUCGGGAAAGAUAUAAAGUGGCGCACGGGUGAGUAACACGUAGGUAAUGUACCGGAGGGUGGGGAAUAACUUAGGGAAACUUAAGCUAAUACCGCAUAAUGCAGCGGCUCGACAUCGAGACAGUUGUUAAAGGAGCAAUCCGCCUUUUGAGCAGCCUGCGGCAGAUUAGCUAGUUGGUAAGGUAAUGGCUUACCAAGGCUACGAUCUGUAACCGACCUGAGAGGGUGGUCGGUCACACUGACACUGAAUAACGGGUCAGACUCCUACGGGAGGCAGCAGUCGGGAAUUUUGGGCAAUGGGCGAAAGCCUGACCCAGCAACGCCGCGUGAAGGAUGAAGUAUUUCGGUAUGUAAACUUCGUAAGAAUAGGAAGAAUAAAUGACGGUACUAUUUGUAAGGUCCGGCUAACUACGU